GAUAAUAAUUAAAAAGUGGUCCAUUCCUUGUCCUCUGCCACUAAACUUUGCUACAGGAUUUUCCCAGGUUUCAAAUUCUACUAGAGACUGUAAUGCACAACUUUUUAAUUUCUCCAAAGAGAGUGCUUAUGCCAUUCCAACUAUGGCUUUCUCAUUUCUCUGCCAUACAUCAGUACUGCCAAUUUAUUGUGAGCUCCAAAGUCCAUCCAAAAGCAGGAUGCAAAAGGUU